CUAAUGUUGAAAAAUUAGGGGAUGAGCUGUGGAUAGGGGUGAAAGGCUAAACAAAUCUGGAAAUAGCUGGUUCUCUCCGAAAACUAUUUAGGUAGUGCCUCAAGUAUUACUGCGGGGGGUAGAGCACUGUUAUAGCUAGGGGGUCAUGGCGACUUACCAAACUAUGGCAAACUCCGAAUACCCGCAAGUACAGCUUGGGAGACAGAGCACCGGGUGCUAACGUCCGGACUCAAGAGGGAAACAACCCAGACCGCCAGCUAAGGUCCCAAAG
rnacentral:rRNA from 1 species